rnacentral:miRNA from 1 species
GGUCAGCUGACACAUCCCUGCCAAUCUCCAGCAGACCCUCCCUCCCAGACCCUCCUACUUCCUGGACAGCAUCCAUGUUGAAAGCAGCUUCAACAUGGAUGCUGUCCAGGAGGUGGGAGGGUCUGGGAGGGAGGGUCUGCCGGAGAUUGGCAGGGAUGUGUCAGCUG